rnacentral:rRNA from 1 species
UACAGAGGGUGCGAGCGUUGUCCGGAAUUACUGGGCGUAAAGCGUGCGCAGGCGGUUCUCCAAGUCAGUGGUGAAAGCCCGGAGCUCAACUCCGGAACUGCCAUUGAAACUGUAGAGCUAGAGUACGAGAGAGGUGAGUGGAAUUCCCAGUGUAGAGGUGAAAUUCGUAGAUAUCGGGAGGAACACCGGUGGCGAAGGCGGCGAUCUGGGUCGAUACUGACGCUGAGGUGCGAAAGCGUGGGGAGCAAACAGG